CCUACGGGAGGCAGCAGUAGGGAAUAUUGCUCAAUGGGGGAAACCCUGAAGCAGCAACGCCGCGUGGAGGAUGAAGGUUUUCGGAUUGUUAACUCCUUUUGUUAGAGAAGAUAAUGACGGUAUCUAACGAAUAAGCACCGGCUAACUCAGUGCCAGCAGCCGCGGUAAUACGGAGGGUGCAAGCGUUACUCGGAAUCACUGGGCGUAAAGAGCGCGUAGGGGGGAUAGCAAGUCCGAUGUGAAAUCCUAUGGCUUAACCAUAGAACUGCAUUUGAAACUGUUAUUCUAGAGUAUGGGAGAGGUAGGUGGAAUUCGUGGUGUAGGGGUAAAAUCCGUAGAGAUCAAGAGGAAUACUCAUUGCGAAGGCGACCUGCUAGAACAUAACUGACGCUGAUGCGCGAAAGCGUGGGGAGCAAACAGGAUUAGAUACCCUUGUAGUC
rnacentral:rRNA from 1 species